UACGUAGGGGCCGAGCGUUGUCCGGAUUCAUUGGGCGUAAAGAGCGUGUAGGCGGCCGCUUAAGUCCUGCGUGAAAUCUCGGAGCUCAACUCCGGAACUGCCAUUGAAACUGUGAGACUGGAGUACGAGAGAGGUGAGUGGAAUUCCCAGUGUAGAGGUGAAAUUCGUAGAUAUUGGGAAGAACACCGGUGGCGAAGGCGGCUCACUGGCUCGUAACUGACGCUCAGGCGCGACAGCGUGGGGAUCAAACAGG
rnacentral:rRNA from 1 species